rnacentral:rRNA from 1 species
UACGUAGGGGGCUAGCGUUGUCCGGAAUCAUUGGGCGUAAAGAGCGUGUAGGCGGCUCGGUAAGUCCGCUGUGAAAGUCCAGGGCUCAACCCUGGAAUGCCAGUGGAAACUGUCGAGCUAGAGUCCGGAAGAGGCGAGUGGAAUUCCUGGUGUAGCGGUGAAAUGCGCAGAUAUCGGGAGGAACACCAAUGGCGAAGGCAGCACUCUGGGACGUGACUGACGCUGAGACGCGAAAGCGUGGGGAGCAAACAGG